GGUGACGUGUCUGAGUGGCUGAAAGAGCUCGCCUGGAAAGCGUGUAAGGGGCAACCCUUCGAGAGUUCGAAUCUCUCCGUCACCG
rnacentral:tRNA from 1 species